rnacentral:rRNA from 1 species
UACGUAGGGUGCAAGCGUUAUCCGGAAUUAUUGGGCGUAAAGAGCUCGUAGGCGGUUUUGUCGCGUCUGCUGUGAAAACCCGAGGCUCAACCUCGGGCCUGCAGUGGGUACGGGCAAACUAGAGUGCGGUAGGGGAGAUUGGAAUUCCUGGUGUAGCGGUGGAAUGCGCAGAUAUCAGGAGGAACACCGAUGGCGAAGGCAGAUCUCUGGGCAUGAUCUGACGCUGAGGAGCGAAAGUGUGGGGGAGCGAACAGG